GCGUGAGAAUCUGCCUUCAGAACGGGGACAACAGAUGGAAACGUCUGCUAAUCCCGGAUGAGCCGAAAGGUGAAAGAUUUAUCGUCUGGAGAUGAGCUCGCGUCUGAUUAGCUAGUUGGUGAGGUAAAAGCUUACCAAGGCGACGAUCAGUAGCUGGUCUGAGAGGAUGAUCAGCCACACUGGGACUGAGACACGGCCCAGACUCCUACGGGAGGCAGCAGUGGGGAAUUUUCCGCAAUGGGCGCAAGCCUGACGGAGCAAGACCGCGUGAGGGAGGAAGGCCUUUGGGUUGUAAACCUCUUUUCUCAGGGAAGAAGAAAGUGACGGUACCUGAGGAAUCAGCCUCGGCUAACUCCGUGCCAGCAGCCGCGGUAAUACGGAGGAUGCAAGCGUUAUCCGGAAUGAUUGGGCGUAAAGCGUCCGUAGGUGGCAGUUCAAGUCUGCUGUCAAAGACAGUAGCUCAACUACUGCAAGGCAGUGGAAACUGAAUAGCUAGAGUGCGGUAGGGGCAGAGGGAAUUCCCGGUGUAGCGGUGAAAUGCGUAGAGAUCGGGAAGAACAUCGGUGGCGAAAGCGCUCUGCUGGGCCACAACUGACACUGAGGGACGAAAGCUAGGGGAGCGAAU
rnacentral:rRNA from 2 species